rnacentral:rRNA from 1 species
GACGAACGCUGGCGGCGUGCUUAACACAUGCAAGUCGAACGGAAAGGCCUCUUUCGAGGGGUACUCGAGUGGCGAACGGGUGAGUAACACGUGAGUAACCUGCCCUUGACUUUGGGAUAACUUCAGGAAACUGGGGCUAAUACCGGAUAGGAGCUCCUGCUGCAUGGUGGGGGUUGGAAAGUUUCGGCGGUUGGGGAUGGACUCGCGGCUUAUCAGCUUGUUGGUGGGGUAGUGGCUUACCAAGGCUUUGACGGGUAGCCGGCCUGAGAGGGUGACCGGCCACAUUGGGACUGAGAUACGGCCCAGACUCCUACGGGAGGCAGCAGUGGGGAAUAUUGCACAAUGGGUGGAAGCCUGAUGCAGCAACGCCGUGUGCGGGAUGACGGCCUUCGGGUUGUAAACCGCUUUCGCUCAUGACGAAGCUUUGUGUGACGGUAGUGGGUAAAGAAGCACCGGCUAACUACGUG